rnacentral:rRNA from 1 species
UACGUAGGUGGCAAGCGUUGUCCGGAAUUACUGGGUGUAAAGGGAGCGUAGGCGGGGCGGCAAGUCAGAAGUGAAAAUUAUGGGCUCAACUCAUAACCUGCUUUUGAAACUGUUGCUCUUGAGUGAAGUAGAGGCAAGCGGAAUUCCCAGUGUAGCGGUGAAAUGCGUAGAUAUUGGGAGGAACACCAGUGGCGAAGGCGGCUUGCUGGGCUUUUACUGACGCUGAGGCUCGAAAGCGUGGGGAGCAAAC